rnacentral:lncRNA from 1 species
GGCGGGGUCCAGGUGGAGGUCUUGAGGCUAUCAGAUCGGUGUAAAGCAGGCCCUCUGGCUCACCAAGACCAAGUUAAUAGAAGGCCUUCCCGAGAAAGUGCUUAGCCUUGUUGAUGAUCCAAGGAACCACAUAGAGAACCAAGACGAGUGCGUUCUGAAUGUGAUCUCUCACGCCCGUCUCUGGCAGACCACUGAGGAAAUCCCCAAGAGAGAGACCUACUGCCCGGUCAUCGUGGACAACCUAAUACAGCUGUGUAAAUCUCAGAUUCUCAAGCAUCCUUCUCUGGCCAGGAGGAUCUGUGUCCAAAACUCCACGUUUUCUGCUACCUGGAACCGAGGCAGGGAUGUUCAGAGAACACAGGUGUUCUAACUGGUGGAAUCCUGGAGCAGGAAAACCAGCUACGGAAUGAUCUGGGAUUUCAGGACAUCUGCUUGGUCAGGAUUUGUGUAUAGACUUCCUGGCAAUGAGUCAGCUUUGCAGAGAGUCUCUUCUCCUUCAAGUCCGUGGUUCUGGUGGAGCCCGACUGAGCACUAAGGAUCCUCUGCCCACCAUCGCCUCCAGAGAGGAGAUUGAAGCUACUAAGAAUCAUGUUCUAGAGACCUUCUACCCCAUAUCACCCAUCAUCGAUCUUCAUGAAUGCAAUAUUUAUGAUGUGAAAAAUGACACAG